rnacentral:pre_miRNA from 1 species
AUAUGAAUCUCCUGGAGAUCUUAUUAAAAUGAAGAUUCUGAUUUAGCAGGUAUGGGUGGGGCCUGAGACUCUGCAUUUCUAACAAACUCCCAGGUGAUGAUGAU